rnacentral:rRNA from 1 species
AACGAACGCUGGCGGCAUGCCUAACACAUGCAAGUCGAACGAACCCUUCGGGGUGAGUGGCGCACGGGUGCGUAACACGUGGGAACCUGCCCUUAGGUUCGGAAUAACACAGAGAAAUUUGUGCUAAUACCGGAUAAUGUCUUCGGACCAAAGAUUUAUCGCCUUUGGAUGGGCCCGCGUAGGAUUAGCUAGUUGGUGAGGUAAAGGCUCACCAAGGCGACGAUCCUUAGCUGGUCUUAGAGGAUGAUCAGCCACACUGGGACUGAGACACGGCCCAGACUCCUACGGGAGGCAGCAGUGGGGAAUAUUGGACAAUGGGCGAAAGCCUGAUCCAGCAAUGCCGCGUGAGUGAUGAAGGCCUUAGGGUUGUAAAGCUCUUUUACCUGGGAUGAUAAUGACAGUACCAGGAGAAUAAGCCCCGGCUAACUUCGUGCCAGCCGCCGCAGUAAAAC